rnacentral:rRNA from 1 species
GACGUAGGGCGCGAGCGUUGUCCGGAUUUAUUGGGCGUAAAGAGCUCGUAGGCGGCUUGUUGCGUCAGCUGUGAAAACCCGCAGCUCAACUGUGGGCUUGCAGCUGAUACGGGCAGGCUUGAGUUCGGUAGGGGAGACUGGAAUUCCUGGUGUAGCGGUGAAAUGCGCAGAUAUCAGGAGGAACACCGGUGGCGAAGGCGGGUCUUCUGGGCCGAUACUGACGCUGAGGAGCGAAAGCGUGGGGAGCGAACAGG